GACGAACGCUGGCGGCGUGCUUAACACAUGCAAGUCGAACGGAAAGGCCCUGCUUGCAGGGUACUCGAGUGGCGAACGGGUGAGUAACACGUGGGUGAUCUGCCCUGCACUUCGGGAUAAGCCUGGAAACUGGGUCUAAUACCGGAUAGGAGCCAUUUUUAGUGUGAUGGUUGGAAAGUUUUUUUCGGUGUAGGAUGAGCUCGCGGCCUAUCAGCUUGUUGGUGGGGUAAUGGCCUACCAAGGCGGCGACGGGUAGCCGGCCUGAGAGGGUGGACGGCCACAUUGGGACUGAGAUACGGCCCAGACUCCUACGGGAGGCAGCAGUGGGGAAUAUUGCACAAUGGGCGCAAGCCUGAUGCAGCGACGCCGCGUGGGGGAUGACGGCCUUCGGGUUGUAAACUCCUUUCGCUAGGGACGAAGCUUUUUGUGACGGUACCUAGAGAAGAAGCACCGGCUAACUACGUG
rnacentral:rRNA from 1 species